GACGAACGCUGGCGGCGUGCCUAAUACAUGCAAGUCGAGCGCACUUUCUAUCAACGUGCUUUGCUACACUGAGCGACAGACAGGGGCGAACGGCGGAGUAAACCUUGGUUAACCUCCGCAACAGCUUGGGAUAACACGUGCAAAUAGGUGCUAAUAUCGCAUAACUCCAUUUACCGCAUGGAAGAUGGGUGCAAGGCGCUUUUGCGUCACUGAUGGAUGGACCCGCGGUGCAUUCGCUAGUUGGUGGGGUAACGGCCUACCAAGGCUGCGAUGCGUAGCCGACCUGAGAGGGUGAUCGGCCACACUGGGACUGAGACACGGCCCAGACUCCUACGGGAGGCAGCAGUAGGGAAUCUUCCGCAAUGGACGAAAGUCUGACCGAGCAACGCCGCGUGAGUGAAGAAGGUUUUCGGAUUGUAAAACUCUGUUGUUAGGGAAGAACAAGGAUGGGAGUGAAAAGUUCAUCCCUUGACGGUAUCUAACCAGAAAGCCACGGCUAACUACGUG
rnacentral:rRNA from 1 species